rnacentral:tRNA from 1 species
GUACUUUUAGUUUAAUGGUAAAAUAUUAGUCUACGGAACUAACGAUAUAGGUUCAAUUCCUAUAAAGUAUU